GACUUGCGGCAGCUUACCAUGCAGUCGAACGGUGAAGCCAAGCUUGCUUGGUGGAUCAGUGGCGAACGGGUGAGUAACACGUGAGCAACCUGCCCUGGACUCUGGGAUAAGCGCUGGAAACGGCGUCUAAUACUGGAUAUGAGCCCCUUCCGCAUGGCGGGGGUUGGAAAGAUUUUUUGGUCUGGGAUGGGCUCGCGGCCUAUCAGCUUGUUGGUGAGGUAAUGGCUCACCAAGGCGUCGACGGGUAGCCGGCCUGAGAGGGUGACCGGCCACACUGGGACUGAGACACGGCCCAGACUCCUACGGGAGGCAGCAGUGGGGAAUAUUGCACAAUGGGCGGAAGCCUGAUGCAGCAACGCCGCGUGAGGGAUGACGGCCUUCGGGUUGUAAACCUCUUUUAGCAGGGAAGAAGCGAGAGUGACGGUACCUGCAGAAAAAGCGCCGGCUAACUACGUGCCAGCAGCCGCGGUAAUACGUAGGGCGCAAGCGUUAUCCGGAAUUAUUGGGCGUAAAGAGCUCGUAGGCGGUUUGUCGCGUCUGCUGUGAAAUCCCGAGGCUCAACCUCGGGCCUGCAGUGGGUACGGGCAGACUAGAGUGCGGUAGGGGAGAUUGGAAUUCCUGGUGUAGCGGUGGAAUGCGCAGAUAUCAGGAGGAACACCGAUGGCGAAGGCAGAUCUCUGGGCCGUAACUGACGCUGAGGAGCGAAAGGGUGGGGAGCAAACAGGCUUAGAUACCCUGGUAGUCCACCCCGUAAACGUUGGGAACUAGUUGUGGGGACCAUUCCACGGUUUCCGUGACGCAGCUAACGCAUUAAGUUCCCCGCCUGGGGAGUACGGCCGCAAGGCUAAAACUCAAAGGAAUUGACGGGGACCCGCACAAGCGGCGGAGCAUGCGGAUUAAUUCGAUGCAACGCGAAGAACCUUACCAAGGCUUGACAUACAUCAGAACACCGUAGAAAUACGGGACUCUUUGGACACUGGUGAACAGGUGGUGCAUGGUGUCGUCAGCUCGUGUCGUGAGAUGUUGGGUUAAGUCCCGCAACGAGCGCACCCUCGUCUAUGUGCCAGCACGUAAUGGUGGGACUCAUGGAUACUGCCGGGUCAACUCGGAGGAAGGUGGGGGAUGACGG
rnacentral:rRNA from 1 species